ensembl:lncRNA
AGAGUUUCAUGUCCCAUUGAGAAGAGAAAGUUCAGGGGGCAGAGUUUAUCACAUAUUAGUGGCGGUGAGGUAAUAUCAUCUGGUUGGUGGUGAGGUAAUACCAUCUAUCAUCUAGUUGGCGGUGAGGUAAUACCAUCUAUCAUCUAGUUGGCGGUGAGGUAAUACCAUCUAUCAUCUAGUUGGCGGUGAGGUAAUACCAUCUAGUUGGCGGUGAGGUAAUACCAUCUAUCAUCUAGUUGGCGGUGAGGUAAUACCAUCUAUCAUCUAGUUGGCGGUGAGGUAAUGCCAUCUAUCAUCUAGUUGGCGGUGAGGUAAUGCCAUCUAUCAUCUAGUUGGCGGUGAGGUAAUAUCAUCUAUUUGAGGUAAGUUACUGCAACUCUGCCACGUUUGAAAGAAAUGGGAAUGAGAACUUGUAACGUUGCAUGGGUCAUUGUGAUAAGUACUUGGUAUCGUUGUGAUGAUGAUAAGUACUAGGUAUCGUUGUGAUGGGGAUAAGUACUAGGUAUCGUUGUGAUGGGGAUAAGUACUAGGAAUCGUUGUGAUGGGGAUAAGUACUAGGAAUCGUUGUGAUGGGGAUAAGUACUAGGAAUCGUUGUGAUGGGGAUAAGUACUAGGUAUCGUUGUGAUGGGGAUAAGUACUAGGUAUCGUUGUGAUGGGGAUAAGUACUAGGAAUCGUUGUGAUGGGGAUAAGUACUAGGAAUCGUUGUGAUGGGGAUAAGUACCAGGUAUCAUUGGUAUAGUGCUAUGUACUAGGUAUCAUGGUGAUGGGGAUAUGUACUAGGUAUUGAUGUGUAUUAUUCUAGAGAGUCUCUGGUCAGAGGUAGAGGCCACUCAUUUUGACACCUAGAGAGCCUCUGGUCAGAGGUAGAGGCCACUCGUUUUGACACCUAGAGAGCCUCUGACCAGAGGUAGAAGCCACUCGUUUUGACACCUAGAGAGCCUCUGGUCAGAGGUAGAAGCCACUCGUUUUGACACCUAGAGAGCCUCUGACCAGCGGUAGAAGCCACUCGUUUUGACACCUAGAGAGCCUCUGACCAGCGGUAGAGGCCACUCGUUUUGACAGGAGCCACAUAGAGAACCUCUAUAUCGGACAGCGUGUCAUUUGAAAUGAAAACGUAGAUCUAACGACAACCAGGGUUUGGCAAGGGAUACGUCUUUUAAUUUAGACCGUGACGAACCUAACCGCGGAAAUUCUAGUGAAGAGAUGUAUUUGCACACACACUUCAUGCAUACAACACCAGAAGACGGUACACUGUACACACGGACGAGUGUUACACAACAGGGAAAAACAACUUCCAUAAUCCAGUUUUUUUUAUUUGGAAUGAACUUGGGUUUUCUUUUUUUGUGUUCUAUUUCUACAGGUUUUGGUUUUCCGAUGCACUAUGUUUUUUAUUACGUCGUUUUGCCACUUCCUGUUAGGCACUUUUGAAGUUCUGCACUUCGAAAAACAUGUUUUAAUUCAAUAAUGCACCCAACCCCACCCCACAGUGCAAUGCUCCUAUUGAAAAGAUGAAUACUGGAGGUGGAAGGUAUGACGCAAAGGAUUGUUAAAGUGAAACAAGCAAAUUCACAGCAUCAUUUCAUACCUCUUUUUUUUUUUAAAUUUUUUUAGAGAAUAUCAGAGAGAAUGUGACAUUUCUGGGAUUUUUGUUUCUUGAGGAAGUUUACGGUGUAAUUCCUGAUAUUAAGGAAACCUAUUUUCUUCCUCUGACUGAAGAUUGUUUGAUGUUAUGCCCUUAAACACAGAUCUAGAAUCAGCUUACCUGCAAUCAUAACCUUGAAUAUCAAUUGGAUGGAUGGGGGAGGGGGGGUUCAGUUAUAGCUGAACUCAGAUCAGUGUCUAUGGGUUGAGUGGAGCUUAUGGAUCCCAAACGUCUGGUAGUGUGACCACUGACUGCAGUUGUGUGAGGGAAGAGACAUAUAUGUCCAAUGGUUAUAUUCUCAUCGGAGUCUGGUAGCAGCUUGUUCUGUGGAACCAUCCAUUUCCCCUUGUGGAGUUGAACCAACUGGGUUGAGCUAAACUACAUCGGAAUAGUAGGAUUUUUAGUUUGUUUGGUAGCGAAACAAAGUGAAUGUGGACGAUGGGUUUUAAAAUAUUAUUUUUUUACUUUUCUAAAAGUCUGAAGUGUCUUUUUUGGAAGGUUAUCUUUAUUUUUUAUUUAUUUUUAUUUUACCUUUAUUUAACUAGGCAAGUCAGUUAAGAACCAAUUCUUAUUUUCAAUGACGGCCUAGCAACAGUGGGUUAACUGCCUGUUCAAGGGCAGAACGACAGAUUUGUACCUUGUCAGCUCGGGGUUUGAACUUGCAACCUUCCGGUUACUAGUCCAACGCUCUAACCACUAGGCUACCCUGCCGCAGCAGCAGCAGGAUUUCCUCAUUUUGGGGGGGUGGCUGGCUUCUUCAUUUGCUAGCUGUGAGAGAACCCUUGUCAUUCCACCUGUUUAUAUAGCAAGUCAUUUCCUUAUGGUUCUAUUGUCCUACCUGGUGUGGUGUCUCGGUAGGUUGAGCCUGUGAGGUUGUGAGCCAUGACUUUAUGCAAUGUCUUACCAUAUUAUAUGUCCAACUGCAAUGAGGAUGAUUUAUGGUCUGCAAUGAGGAUGAUUUAUGGUCUGCAAUGAGGAUGAUUUAUGGUCUGCAAUGAGGAUGAUUUAUGGUCUGCAAUGAUGAGGAUGAUUUAUGGUCUGCAAUGAUGAGGAUGAUUUAUGGUCUGCAAUGAUGAGGAUGAUUCAUGGUCUGCAGUGAUGAGGAUGAUUUAUGGUCUGCAAUGAUGAGGAUGAUUCAUGGUCUGCAGUGAUGAGGAUGAUUUAUGGUCUGCAAUGAUGAGGAUGAUUUAUGGUCUGCAGUGAUGAGGAUGAUUUAUGGUCUGCAAUGAUGAGGAUGAUUUAUGGUCUGCAAUGAUGAGGAUGAUUUAUGGUCUGCAAUGAUGAGGAUGAUUUAUGGUCUGCAAUGAUGAGGAUGAUUUAUGGUCUGCAAUGAUGAGGAUGAUUCAUGGUCUGCAAUGAUGAGGAUGAUUCAUGGUCUGCAAUGAUGAGGAUGAUUCAUGGUCUGCAAUGAUGAGGA